rnacentral:rRNA from 1 species
CCUACGGGAGGCAGCAGUGGGGGAUAUUGGACAAUGGGGGGAACCCUGAUCCAGCGACGCCGCGUGAGUGAAGAAGUAUUUCGGUAUGUAAAGCUCUGUCAGCAGGGAAGAAAGAAAUGACGGUACCUGACCAAGAAGCCCCGGCUAACUACGUGCCAGCAGCCGCGGUAAUACGGAGGGGGCAAGCGUUAUCCGGAGUUACUGGGUGUAAAGGGAGCGUAGACGGUUAAGUAAGUCUGGAGUGAAAGUCCGGGGCCCAACCCCGGGACUGCUCUGGAAACUAUUGAACUUGAGUGCAGGAGAGGUAAGCGGAAUUCCUAGUGUAGCGGUGAAAUGCGUAGAUAUUAGGAGGAACACCAGUGGCGAAGGCGGCUUACUGGACUGUAACUGACGUUGAGGCUCGAAAGCGUGGGGAGCAAACAGGAUUAGAUACCCUUGUAGUC